AUUAUAUUUUUUGCUUAGUACUUCUAUUCCUGUGUGCACUGAUGUGAUAGUGAACUGCUGUAGCAAAAGAAUUUUCCCUCGGGGAUCAAUAAAGUAUUUCUGAUUCUGAUUUUUAGGGUCUUGUUAAAAAGCUCUACUAUGCUAGCCUUUGUCUCAUUAGAUGUAAAAAAAAAUUAAUUUUGUUUGAAUCCAGUAGAGAUUGGAAUUGUUUAUUGUAAAAUUCCUUUCCAGCAUAAUUCUGGCAAACGUUUCUCCCUUAAAAUAUCAACACAACUUUUAGUGACAGCAUCAUCACUCUUAGACGUCAGACAGUGGACCCAGCAAUAUUUGGAAAACAUCAAUACACGUCAACAGGUACAGAACAACGUCUUUUUCUUUGGAUAUUCAGUCAUGUCCACUAAAUCUGCUAUAAAUUGUUUAUCUAUACCAUAAACAACAAGCAUUUGCAUGAAGUGUAUAUGCAUCUUGUUUAAUUAACCAAUCUUUUACUUCUUCCCUCUGUGGUGCUAUGCCUGUACUGUCUUUUAUAGUGGAGCAAAAUUUAAUACAAUCGUACCUGAUGGCCCAUACUUGACAGCAAAUGGUUGACGAUCCGAUGUAGCAGCAGCAUCCAUGGUUGAGACGUGAUAGCGAACAAGGUACGCAAUCGUAAGGAAUUGAUAACCUGACUAGAGUGUUUCCCCAACUUAUAUACCAGAAAGAAAGAAGUUAACAACAUGCCCAUCGUUUUAUAAUAACACUCCUUCACCUGACCUAUCUCACCAGCAUCACACAUGACACACCUGGCCUCUACACCCCACCCCCCAUUACUAUAUAUUGGAUAUAUAUUUAUUAUUAUCACCACAAGUAUUGGCUAAACAAGUAUACUUAAACAAAACUGUUUGUUGAAAUCACCUGUGCCAAUCUCGCUUAUUGGCAUGAGGGUGCACAAGAAGCCAAAAGGAGACUUGUUGCAGCCACCUUUAUGUCUGUGCUGGACUAUGGCGAUGUUUUAUACAUGCAUGCCUACACAUGCUGGAUACAGUCUACCAUGGAGCACUGAGAUCACAAACCUCAAAGCUCUUAAUUGCUUGGACUGCUUCCCUCUUACCUACAGAUCUACUUCCUAAAAGAAAUUAUGGGAAGUUAUUGUCUUCGCUCCCAGGAUUUAUUUCUAUUGACUGUCCCCAAAGUCCAUACUGAACUAGGAAAAAGGGUGUUUAAGUAUGCUGAUCUCUUGGCUUGGAAUCAGUUGCAAAAUCACUUGAAUCUUCGGGAACUGGUCUCAUUAGAUGCAUUUAAAGUGAUUUUAAAUGCCUGGGAAGCAAAUACAUCUGGCUGUAUCUUGUCUUAUGUCUGCAACCGUGUUUUCUGUGCUGCUGCCUGUCUUGGCCAAGACACUCUUGAAAAGAGAUUUUUAAUCUCAAUGAAUCUUUUAUUGGACUUUCUAGCCCAUGAUAAUGAAUGGCUAAUAAGCCAAUUCAGAUUACCAAGAGCCAUUCUCUUGGAAAUCUGUGAUGAAUUGGGCCCAGUUUUGGAACGACCCGCCCGGUGGAGAGGUCCAUCCCUGUGCAGGUCCGGUUGCUGACCACUCUGGGCAGGUCUGGAAUAUCGCAGCCAUCACUAAGCACAAUUAUGCCAGCCGUCUUGGAUUGCCUUAUUGAAAUGACCCCUUGUUAUAUAAGGUUUCCUUAUACUGUGGGUGAGCAGGCCAACAUCACAAUGUACUUUGCAGCAAUGUCUGGUUUUUGAAAUGUAAUUGGAGUAAUUGAUUGCAUGCAUGUUGCGAUAAAAGCACCAAAUGAUAUCGAGUUUGCUUUUGUUAAUCGAAAACAUUACCAUACCAUAAAUGUUCAACUCAUUUGCAGUGCUGACAUGAUUCUGACAUAUGUAGUGGCUCGGUGGCCUGGCUCAACCCACUACUCAUUUAUUUUGUGGCACAGUAAUGUAGGAAGAAGACUGCAGGCUUGCGCUGAGCUUUAUGGUUGGCUUCUUGAGUGGUUACUGGAUAAUAUUUUAUAAAUAUGCAAUCAUCAUGCAGGUGAUAGUGGGUACCCUCUAUUGACUUAGCUCCUCACCCCCUUCGCAAACGCACAGAAUGCAGAGCAGAGAAGGUACAAUGAAGUGCACUGUCGAGUCUGUUCAGUCGUUGAGCGCACCAUCGAGGUUCCUGAAAUCUCACUGUUGAUGCCUAGACAAAUCUGGUGACAUUCUGUUAUAUAGGCCUGAAAAGGUGAGUGUGCUCCUUAUCCUCUUUUAAAUCCCUCUUAAAAACAUUUUUAUAAGUGUUCUAUCACAGGGUUUGUGGUCUGAAUUCUCUUUUAUCUGAUUCGCUACUUAAAACCUAAUUUUAUACAAAGGCUCUUAACUCUUAUUUAUCAAUUAUUUUAAUUAUUUUACUAUCUAAAAUGUAGCCAAUUUUCCUCAAUGUUGUAUAACUUGUAUAACUUAAAAUAGUUUUUAUCAUAGUUGUCUACCAUUUUUAUUUUGUCUCAUAAAGCACUUUGUAACUGUUUUGCAGUGCUGUGUAACUAAAGAUUAUUAUCAUUAUUAUUAAGGUGUGCCGGAUCAUUAGGACUUGUGCGGUUCUCCACACUGUGGCACAGUGCAAUGGUGUUCCUGCACCUGCUGACAUUGUGCCAGACAGCAUGGUCCAGCAUCACCUUAUACAUGAAGACCAAGCUCCUGAACAGACCAGACAAAUGCAGUACAGCAUCAGUGAGGACAUGGCCACCUGACCGUGCUUCACUUCGGCCUGGCUGACUGGACACUGUGGCCGAGCUGUGCAUACUGGAGAUGCCGCUGGGGCCUGGCACACACUCUGUGAUGCCCCCCCUCCACGACGCCCCACCACCAGCCACUGCCACACUUGAGAUUGUUUCUAAAUAAAAUGAAACAAAAUA